ensembl:lncRNA
UUUAUUUUAUUUUAUUUUAUUUUGCUUAAGUCAUUAAUAUCCAUCAAAGGAUAUGUUCAUAUUUCAUUUACAAAAAAGAUCUCAAGAAGCUUCAGAAAUGAGGGAGCUUAAAAAAAUAACAGUCUGUGCAAAAACAUUUUAUAUCAGUUGAAAUAAAGAUUAUUAAACACAGUAGUGACUCCUACGUAUUGCAGUGUUUAGUGCUAUUGACUGUUUAUAAUGAAUUCACCACAGAUACAGUUUUAAAAGGUUGUUACAGGACUCAUCUUUAUCUGGAACACGUUUCACAGUAAGUAAACUGAACAAAGAUCCAUGGAGAAAUUCAAAAAUUUCAGUAUCAUAGAGGUUCCAGCAGAAUUAAAAGUUAAGAAACCAUAAAAUAAUGAUUUAUAAGAAAUCUACAGAAAAGUGUGUAAGUAUAUGCAAUCAUGAAAGAUUUACCUCUUGGACUAGCCAGGGAACUGAUUUUGCAAUUAAAGAUCAGAAUCAUUCAUUAAGAGAGGGAAGAAAAGCAAUUGUUGACAGUCAACAGGGAAAUGAAAUUAGAGCAACUCAUUAUUUAAAUGUUUUGAUUUAAAGGCAGAUCUGUUAAUGAGCUAUGAAGAGCUGUAAUUAUCUAUGUGUCCAAUUUCAGCAACAAAAUGAAAAUCCUGCAAUAGAUUGGUGGGAAAAAAAAAAAAAAAAAAAAAAAAAAGGCAUUAAAUAUCAGAAUGUUGGCUUUUCCUCAGUGGUUGGAAAGCUAGCUUUUGGGGAAGGCUUGUUUUGCUGUAUUGCUCUUGUUAGCUUACCAGCUAUACGACAAAAGAAAGAACAGGCUGAGGGAGCUGGACUUGUUCAGAUUGGAGAGGAGAGAGCUGUGAGGAGACCUCAUUGCAGUCUUCCAGUAGGUGAAUUAACUUUUUACAAGGGUAAAUAGUGACAGGACAAGGGGGAAUGGUUUCAUGCUCAGGGAGGGAAGGAUUAGAUUAGAUGUCAAGGGAAGUUCUUCACAGAGAGAGUGGCAAGGUGCUGGAACAGGCCGCCCAGAGAGACUGCGGAUGCCCCAUCCCUGGAGGUCUCAAAGACCAGGUUAGAUGGGGCCCUGGGCAGCCUGGUCUAGUACCAGAUCUGGAGGUUGGUGGCCCUGUCUGUGGCAGAGGGGCUGGAACUUGGUGAUCCUUGGGGUGCCAUCCAACCCAAGCCAUUCUAUGAUUCUACUGUUUUCAAAAGUUAAGAGGCAGUUUCCCAGAAAUAAAAUAACUGGGUCAGCCCUGAGACUUUUAGCUACACAUGAAGUGCAGGUGAUUUUGUACAGCUCUUUUAGUCAACUAGUAGAAAAGCCUUUUACAUGGCUUACCUGUAGAUGGAUAGAAUGGCAGAGAGAAACAGAGAAUUUCAAGAUUACAGGGGUGCUCUUUGUUCCACAAAAGCUAUUUAAUAAUUAUUGCAAGUAUCUUGCUGCAUGCCAGGAUGAAGAGUAGAAUGCAUUUCUGACAGGGAUAUAGUAGUGAUACACUCAUUAAGCUGCCUGUACUGUUUGUAAAUUUACUUUCUCUUAUUAUAAGCAAUGAAAAUGGUGCGAUCUAGUUGUCAGAAAGACAGGAUUUUGUGAGAUAAUUGCAAGUAGCACAGCUAGAGGUCUAACUAUCAAAAGAGCAAAUAAUUGAUCUAGUGCAAAUGAAACAGAAGCCCAAGAGAUUAAAUUAAAAACUUCAGAGGCACACGUCAUCAUGGCAUUGGUAAUAGCUAAUAUACCUAUGGCAUUAUAACACUGUAAAUUUAGAUGCCCGUGACACCAAUUAUUGGGCACUGAUAUUACCAUAUUAUUCUAUCCUCUAUGCUCUGCACAGUCCACUGCAUUUCCACAUAGUGCUUUUCAUCUUUAGUUUACUAUGCCAUGCUCAAAUAUCCACAUCUUCAAAAUAGAGGCAAUAAUAUCAAUACCUGCUUUGUCCCUCUUCUGAGGGAGAGAAAAUGUUGGAAGUAGACAAUAUGUUAACCCCUCAAAGCCUGUGAAGUUUCUGCCUCUCAGCAAAAUGUCCAAACAUAACUCCCGUGGAUCUCAGAGAGUAGUGGACAAAGAGAAGGUUGUCUGAAGGGAGCUGUCCUUUCAAUCAUAAUGAAGUCCAGACAUCCCCAGUGUUGGUUUUGCUGUAUGUUCUUCCAAGGAAUAAUGUUUGACACAAGCAGAGGCUCUUUCUUAAUAUAAAAUCAUAUAGUGGUUUUGGUAGAAUUUUUUCUUAAAGAUCAUCUAGUUCCACUCCUCUCUGCCAUGGGCAGGGAUACCUUCCACUAGAUAAGGUUUCCUAGGGGCCCCAUCCAGUCUGGCCUUGAACACUUCUAGGGAUAGUCAACUUGACCACUCACAUUGAUAUAAUCCAUAAACUUACUGGGGGUGCACUCAGUUCCACUGCCCAUGUCACCAACAAAGAUGUUAAAUAAUACUGACCCUAAUAUUGGACCCUGAGGAUCACCACUUACAACCAUUAAGCCACUGAUCACAAUCUUAAGUAUGACCACUCAACCAGUUCCUUAUCCACUGACUGGUUCACCCGUCAAAUUCUUGCCUCUCCAAUUUAGAGACAAGGAUGUCAUGUGGAACACAAUCUUUGUACAAGUCCAAGUAGAUGAUGUCAGUUGCUCUUUCCUUAUCCACUAAUGUUAUAAUCUAAUUGAACAAGUCUAUCCGAUUUGUCAGGCAUAAUUUGCCCUUAGUGAAACUAUAUUGGUUGUCACCAGUCAUUAUUCUGUUGUUUAUGUGUUUUAGCAUUAUUUACAGGAGUAUCUGCUCCCUGAUCUUGCUAGGCACAGAGUUUUAAAAAAAUUAGGCUUAGGUUUCCACUUUCCUAGUUACUGGGAACUUCACUGAUUUCCAUGAGUUAUCAAAAGUGAUGGAUAGCAUGCUAACGGAGUUCGUGGAUGUGGUUGCCAAGACACUCUCCAUCAUCCUUUGAUAGUCCUGGCUAUCUGAGAAUGUCCUGGUGGACUGGAAACUGGCAAAUGUGAGUCCCAUCUUCAAAAAGGGCUGGAAAGAUUAUCAUGGUAGCUACAGACCUAUCAGUCUCACAUCAGUGCCAGGGAAGGUUAUGGAAUGGAUAAUCUCAGGAGCCAUCAUGGACCAAUUAAAGGGCAACCAGGGGAUCAGGCCCAGUCAGCAGACCAGCCCAGUUUAUGAAUUGUAGAUCCUGUUUGACAAAUCUGAUUUCAUUCUAUGACAAGGUGAUCUACUUAAUGGAUGAAGGCAAGGCUGUUGAUGUGGUCUACCUGGACUUCAGUAAAGCCUUUGACACUGUCCCCCACAACAUUCUCACAGAGAAGCUGGCUGCCCACAGUUUGGAUGGGCGGAUGCUCUGCUGAGUGAAACAUUGGCUGGAUGGCCAGGCCCAAAGAGUUGUGGUCAACAGAGUUAAAUCCAGUUGGCGGCCAGUCAUGAGUGGUGUCACACAGGGCUUGGUACUGGGGCUGCUUCUAUUCAACAUCUUUAAUGAUGUUGACGAGGGAAUUGAGUGCACCCUCAGUAAGUUUGCAAAUGACAAGUUGGGAGGGAGUGUUGAUCUGCCAGAGGGGAGAAAUGCGCUACAGAAGGACUUGGAUAGACUGGAUCGAUGGGCCAAGGUAAGCUGUCUAAGUUUCAAUAGGGCCAAGUGUCAGGUCCUGCAUUUUGAUCACAACUCCAGGCAACCCUACAGGCUUAGAGAGGAGUGGCUGGAAAGCUGACAGAAGGGGUCCUUGGUGUACUGAUGGACAGUCGGCUGAAUACAAACCAGCAGUGUGCCCAGGUGGCCAAGAAGGCCAAUAGCAUCGUGGCUUGUAUCAGGAGUGGUGUGGUAAGCAGGACUAGGGAAGUAAUCCUGCCCCUGUAUUCGGCAUUGUUGAGGCCUCACCUUGAGUACUGUGUUCAGUUUUGGGCACUUCAUUACAGAAAAGAUAUUGAGGUGAUGGAGCAGGUCCAAAGAAGGGCAACAAGGCUUGUGAAGGACUUGGAGAAUGUGCCCUAUAAGGAGCAACUGAAGGAACUGGGGCUGUUUAGUCUGGGGAAGAGGAGGCUGAGGGGAGACCUUAUUGGUCUCUUCCAAUACUUGAAAGGUGCAAGAGUAGGGUUGGUCUCUUCUCACUGGUGACAGAUGACAGGACAAGGGGAAAUGGUCUCAAGUUGUGUCAGGGGAGAUUUAGGUUGGAUAUCAGGAAAAACUUCUUCACAGAAAGGGUUGUUAAGCACUGGAAUAGGCUCCCCAGGGAGGUGGUUGAGUCACCAUCCCUGUGUUUUAAAACUGUUUGGAUGUACUGCUCAGGGAAAUGAUUUAGUGCAGGAUUGUUAGAGUUCGGGUAAUAUGGUCAGGUUGUGGUUGUACUUGAUGAUCUUGAAGGUCUUUUCCAGCCUGAGUAAUUCUAUGAUUCUAGGAAUUUAAUCUGUCAGUUCCCUCAUGACCCGCAGAUGCACUUCAUCAGGUCUCAUGGAUCUGAGCACAUUCAGGUUCCUUAGAUGCCUGCACUGGAUGUCCUGUACUGGAUGGUACUUCAUUCUUCCAGACCUUGCAUUUAGAUUCUGUGACUAGAGACAGGAAAUUGUACUCUUGUCUCUUACCUUCAACAGUAAUAUUAUAAAAUUCCUCAAAUGCCUUGGUAAAAAGGUUUAAUACUACUGCAAUAGCACAACAUGCUGUGAUAAUUCAUUUUUUUGUUAGCAGCAACUAAAAAGACUCAAAGGUUCCUAGCACUCACCUGAGGGAUCUAUAUCC